AUGCAAGUCGAACGAACUCUGGUAUUGAUUGGUGCUUGCAUCAUGAUUUACAUUUGAGUGAGUGGCGAACUGGUGAGUAACACGUGGGAAACCUGCCCAGAAGCGGGGGAUAACACCUGGAAACAGAUGCUAAUACCGCAUAACAACUUGGACCGCAUGGUCCGAGCUUGAAAGAUGGCUUCGGCUAUCACUUUUGGAUGGUCCCGCGGCGUAUUAGCUAGAUGGUGGGGUAACGGCUCACCAUGGCAAUGAUACGUAGCCGACCUGAGAGGGUAAUCGGCCACAUUGGGACUGAGACACGGCCCAAACUCCUACGGGAGGCAGCAGUAGGGAAUCUUCCACAAUGGACGAAAGUCUGAUGGAGCAACGCCGCGUGAGUGAAGAAGGGUUUCGGCUCGUAAAACUCUGUUGUUAAAGAAGAACAUAUCUGAGAGUAACUGUUCAGGUAUUGACGGUAUUUAACCAGAAAGCCACGGCUAACUACGUGCCAGCAGCCGCGGUAAUACGUAGGUGGCAAGCGUUGUCCGGAUUUAUUGGGCGUAAAGCGAGCGCAGGCGGUUUUUUAAGUCUGAUGUGAAAGCCUUCGGCUCAACCGAAGAAGUGCAUCGGAAACUGGGAAACUUGAGUGCAGAAGAGGACAGUGGAACUCCAUGUGUAGCGGUGAAAUGCGUAGAUAUAUGGAAGAACACCAGUGGCGAAGGCGGCUGUCUGGUCUGUAACUGACGCUGAGGCUCGAAAGUAUGGGUAGCAAACAGGAUUAGAUACCCUGGUAGUCCAUACCGUAAACGAUGAAUGCUAAGUGUUGGAGGGUUUCCGCCCUUCAGUGCUGCAGCUAACGCAUUAAGCAUUCCGCCUGGGGAGUACGGCCGCAAGGCUGAAACUCAAAGGAAUUGACGGGGGCCCGCACAAGCGGUGGAGCAUGUGGUUUAAUUCGAAGCUACGCGAAGAACCUUACCAGGUCUUGACAUACUAUGCAAAUCUAAGAGAUUAGACGUUCCCUUCGGGGACAUGGAUACAGGUGGUGCAUGGUUGUCGUCAGCUCGUGUCGUGAGAUGUUGGGUUAAGUCCCGCAACGAGCGCAACCCUUAUUAUCAGUUGCCAGCAUUAAGUUGGGCACUCUGGUGAGACUGCCGGUGACAAACCGGAGGAAGGUGGGGAUGACGUCAAAUCAUCAUGCCCCUUAUGACCUGGGCUACACACGUGCUACAAUGGAUGGUACAACGAGUUGCGAACUCGCGAGAGUAAGCUAAUCUCUUAAAGCCAUUCUCAGUUCGGAUUGUAGGCUGCAACUCGCCUACAUGAAGUCGGAAUCGCUAGUAAUCGCGGAUCAGCAUGCCGCGGUGAAUACGUUCCCGGGCCUUGUACACACCGCCCGUCACACCAUGAGAGUUUGUAACACCCAAAGUCGGUGGGGUAACCUUUAGA
rnacentral:rRNA from 2 species